rnacentral:siRNA from 1 species
CAACGUCUUCAGGGCAAUGCCA